AAGUCGUAACAAGGUUUCCGUAGGUGAACCUGCGGAAGGAUCAUUAUUGAAUAAGCUUGGUUGGGUUGUUGCUGGCUCUCAGGGGCAUGUGCACGCCUAACACCAACUUUUACCACCUGUGCACAUUUUGUAGACCUGGAUAAAACUCUCGAGGAAACUCGGUUUGAGGAAUGCUGUGCGCAAGCCAGCUUUCCUUGUACUUCUGGUCUAUGUUUUUAUAUAUACACACCCCUAUAGUAUGUCUCGGAAUGUUUGUUUGUUGGGCUUGAAUGCCUUUAAACUUAAUACAACUUUCAACAACGGAUCUCUUGGCUCUCGCAUCGAUGAAGAACGCAGCGAAAUGCGAUAAGUAAUGUGAAUUGCAGAAUUCAGUGAAUCAUCGAAUCUUUGAACGCACCUUGCGCUCCUUGGUAUUCCGAGGAGCAUGCCUGUUUGAGUGUCAUGAAAUUCUCAACCUUUUCAGCUUUUUCUGUUGAUCAGGCUUGGAUGUGGGAGUAUGCGGGCUUCUCAGAAGUCGGCUCUCCUGAAAUGCAUUAGCGGGACCUUUGUUGCCUUGCUUUGGUGUGAUAAUUAUCUACGCCAUUCGUGAAGAGCAGCUUUAUAAACGGGGUUCAGCUUCUAAAGGUCUCUUUUGAGACAACUUCUGACAAUUUGACCUCAAAUCAGGUAGGACUACCCGCUGAACUUAAGCAUAUCAAUAAGCGGAGGAAAAGAAACUAACAAGGAUUCCCCUAGUAACUGCGAGUGAAGCGGGAAAAGCUCAAAUUUAAAAUCUGAGGGUCUUUAUGGCCUUCCGAGUUGUAAUCUAGAGAAGUGCUAUCCGCGCUGGACCGUGUACAAGUCUCCUGGAACGGAGCGUCAUAGAGGGUGAGAAUCCCGUCUUUGACACGGACUACCAGGGCUUAUGUGAUACGCUCUCAAAGAGUCGAGUUGUUUGGGAAUGCAGCUCUAAAUGGGUGGUAAAUUCCAUCUAAAGCUAAAUAUUGGCGAGAGACCGAUAGCGAACAAGUACCGUGAGGGAAAGAUGAAAAGAACUUUGGAAAGAGAGUUAAAAAGUACGUGAAAUUGUUGAAAGGGAAACGCUUGAAGUCAGUCGCAUUGGCCAGGGAUCAACCUUGCUUUUGCUUGGUGUAUUUUCUGGUUAAUGGGUCAGCAUCAAUUUUGAUCGGUGGAAAAAGAUCAAGGGAAUGUGGCAUCUUCGGAUGUGUUAUAGCCCUUGGUUGUAUACAUCGAUUGGGAUUGAGGAACUCAGCACGCCGCAAGGCCGGGUUUUUAACCACGUACGUGCUUAGGAUGCUGGCAUAAUGGCUUUAAUCGACCCGUCUUGAAACACGGACC
rnacentral:rRNA from 1 species